rnacentral:rRNA from 1 species
UACGUAGGGUCCGAGCGUUGUCCGGAGUUACUGGGCGUAAAGCGCGCGCAGGCGGCUCGUUAAGUCUGACGUGAAAGCCCCCGGCUCAACCGGGGAGGGUCGUUGGAGACUGGUGAGCUUGAGGGCGGUAGGGGCUGGUGGAAUUCCCGGUGUAGUGGUGAAAUGCGUAGAGAUCGGGAGGAACACCUGUGGCGAAGGCGGCCAGCUGGGCCGACCCUGACGCUGAGGCGCGAAAGCUAGGGGAGCAAACGGG